AUGUUGGCGUGGGUGUGCCAUGGUGACAUCCACGAUGGACGCACAGCUCUACCAAUCCUACCCCACCCGUUACAAUAAGCACAGUAGGCCCAACAUCUGAGGAGGCUUUAUGACAUCACACAAAAACUCUGAUGUCAACAAGGAACCCUCCGGACUGUAAUCAUCUUUGUAGCAUUAUUGUUCUGGGAUCAGCACCUUUGGGGAUACAUUAGUACGGCGAUUGACGGAAAGAAGCUGAAGAGGGAAACCAAAGUGAACCCAGCCAAGGCAAGAUAAGCUUCUCUCUCAGCCAUGCUGGCAGAUUUCUUUUGCCUUCUUUCCUACACUCCUUCAGCAAUUCAAGCACAGACUGAGAUUAUUCUGCUCCAAAAUCGCAAGGUGCUUGUUUAAAAGGUGUUUUAUUACAUGAAGCAAGAGGAAACAUGAGGAACAAUCAGACACCAGAGGCAUGUUAAGAUGUGUCACUUACACAUUAUGAUAAUGAGAAGGAGUAAAUCCAGGUUCUGUUUUAGGGACGUUCUGUUCCAAAGCAAGAACAUAAAUCUGAAUCAAAUGCCUUGCUUAUUGAAUUUGAAUUCAAAGUUUAUUCCUGACUGCCACUGAAAUCCAGGUCCAAUUUUUCUUUUUAUUUGGACUUGUAUUAAAACAUGAAAAAACUGACACAUCUACCUAGCUUCUGCAAUUUGUUCAGCGUUGUACCUGGUGUUGUCUAAAGGAUGUCUCCUGCUGCAAGGAACAGAACUAGGAGCCUAUAGGCAUGAUAAGAUGCAGAACACCAUUCAAAACCUUUGGUUGGGAAAAAGGCUGUAUGUUCACUGGAAGUAGAAGUAACACAGCAGUACUCUAGCUUAAAAAUAGUAUGUGAAGAACUAACUGGUAUCAACAGUAAAGACAGGAGAACAGUAAAGAUAGGAGCAGCUAGGGAACUUGCUUUAGUGGGGGAGUUGGACUCGAUUUCUUGAGGUCCCUUUCAACCCAUGCAAUUCUGUGAUUCUGUGACACGUUAGAGGGAAUGUACCUAAAAUCACGUGUCUAAAC